rnacentral:rRNA from 1 species
AUACGUAAGGACCGAGCGUUGUCCGGAAUCAUUGGGCGUAAAGGGUACGUAGGCGGCUAGAAAAGUUAGAAGUCAAAGGCUAUAGCUCAACUAUAGUAAGCUUCUAAAACUAUUUAGCUUGAGAAAUGGAAGGGAAAGUGGAAUUCCUAGUGUAGCGGUGGAAUGCGCAGAUAUUAGGAAGAAUACCGGUGGCGAAGGCGACUUUCUGGCCAUUAUCUGACGCUGAGGUACGAAAGCGUGGGUAGCAAACAGGAUUAGAUACCCUGGUAGUCCACGCCGUAAACGAUGAGUGUUAGGUGUCUGGAGUCAAAUCUGGGUGCCGCAGCAAACGCAUUAAACACUCCGCCUGGGGAGUACGCACGCAAGUGUGAA